UGCCAUCAGAAAUUUUUGGGCCCCUGACACAGCUCAAGGGCCUGCCCCCGAGUCCAACCACCGGGCCUAUCCUGAGUCUGCCCACAAGAAUAAAGUAUGUGUGUCUACUGAAUGUGGUAUGUGUUUAGUGGAUGUAGAAUGUGUGUAGGGGAUACGGUAUGUGUUUCAUGGAUGCAGUCUGUAUAGUGGAUGUACUGUGUGUGUAUAGGGACUGCAGAGUAGGUAUAAUGAGCGUUUGUAUCAGGAUAUAUAGUGACUUUAGUGAAUACAAAGGGUGUGUAGUGAAUGUAGUGUUUGUUUUUGACUUCAGAGUAUGUGUUUGUGUAUAGGGACUGCAGAGUGUGUUUGUGUAGUGAAUGCAAAGUGUGCACAGUCACUAUACACACACUACACACACUCUGUAGAGAAUGUAGAUUGUGACUGCUGAGUGUGUUUAUGUAGCGAAUGCAAAGUGUGUGUAUAGCGACUGCAGUGUGUGUUGGUGUAGUGGAUGUAGUGACUGCAGUGUGUGUAGGUAUGUACUGU